CCUACGGGUGGCAGCAGUGGGGAAUAUUGCACAAUGGGGGAAACCCUGAUGCAGCGACGCCGCGUGAAGGAAGAAGUAUUUCGGUACGUAAACCUCUAUCAGCAGGGAAGAAAAUGACGGUACCUGACUAAGAAGCCCCGGCUAACUACGUGCCAGCAGCCGCGGUAAUACGUAGGGGGCAAGCGUUAUCCGGAUUUACUGGGUGUAAAGGGAGCGUAGGCGGUUCAGCAAGUCAGAAGUGAAAGCCCAGGGCUCAACCACGGGACUGCUUUGGAAACUGUUGAACUAGAUUGCAGGAGAGGUAAGCGGAAUUCCUAGUGUAGCGGUGAAAUGUGUAGAUAUUAGGAGGAACACCAGUGGCGAAGGCGGCUUACUGGACUGUAAAUGACGCUGAGGCUCGAAAGCGUGGGGAGCAAACAGGAUUAGAUACCCUUGUAGUC
rnacentral:rRNA from 1 species